UGGCGGCAGGCCUAACACAUGCAAGUCGAGCGGCAGCGACUUAACUGAACCUUCGGGGAACGUUAAGGGCGGCGAGCGGCGGACGGGUGAGUAAUGCCUGGGAAUAUGCCCUGAUGUGGGGGAUAACUAUUGGAAACGAUAGCUAAUACCGCAUAAUCUCUUCGGAGCAAAGAGGGGGACCUUCGGGCCUCUCGCGUCAGGAUUAGCCCAGGUGGGAUUAGCUUGUUGGUGAGGUAAUGGCUCACCAAGGCAACGAUCCCUAGCUGGUCUGAGAGGAUGAUCAGCCACACUGGAACUGAGACACGGUCCAGACUCCUACGGGAGGCAGCAGUGGGGAAUAUUGCACAAUGGGGGAAACCCUGAUGCAGCCAUGCCGCGUGUGUGAAGAAGGCCUUCGGGUUGUAAAGCACUUUCAGUAGGGAGGAAGGUAGUGUAGUUAACACCUGCACUAUUUGACGUUACCUACAGAAGAAGCACCGGCUAACUCCGUGCCAGCAGCCGCGGUAAUACGGAGGGUGCGAGCGUUAAUCGGAAUUACUGGGCGUAAAGCGCAUGCAGGCGGCCUGUUAAGUCAGAUGUGAAAGCCCGGGGCUUAACCUCGGAAUUGCAUUUGAAACUGGCAGGCUAGAGUCUUGU
rnacentral:rRNA from 2 species